rnacentral:rRNA from 1 species
UACGAAGGGGGCUAGCGUUGCUCGGAAUUACUGGGCGUAAAGGGCGCGUAGGCGGCACUGUUAGCCAGGCGUGAAAGUCCUGGGCUCAACCUGGGAACUGCGCUUGAUACGGCAGAGCUAGAGGAUGGAAGAGGCUCGCGGAAUUCCCAGUGUAGAGGUGAAAUUCGUAGAUAUUGGGAAGACACCGGUGCGAAGGCGGCGCUCUGGACCCGAGACUGACGCUGAGGCGCGAAAAGCGUGGGGAGCAACAGG